rnacentral:rRNA from 1 species
GACGAACGCUGGCGGCGUGCUUAACACAUGCAAGUCGAACGGAAAGGCCCUGCUUGUGGGGGGUGCUCGAGUGGCGAACGGGUGAGUAACACGGGAGUAACCUGCCCUUGACUUUGGGAUAACUUCAGGAAACUGGGGCUAAUACCGGAUAGGAGCUCCGGCUGCAUGGUGGGGGUUGGAAAGUUUCGGCGGUUGGGGAUGGACUCGCGGCUUAUCAGCGUGUUGGUGGGGUAGGGGCUUACCAAGGCUUUGACGGGUAGCCGGCCUGAGAGGGUGACCGGCCACAUUGGGACUGAGAUACGGCCCAGCCUCCUACGGGAGGCAGCAGUGGGGAAUAUUGCACAAUGGGCGGAAGCCUGAUGCAGCAACGCCGCGUGCGGGAUGACGGCCUUCGGGUUGUAAACCGCUUUCGCCUGUGACGAAGCGUGAGUGACGGUAAUGGGUAAAGAAGCACCGGCUAACUACGUG